AAUGGCAAAGGGGCAUGCAUCCCAGCAGAGUCCGCCUUCCCAGCAGCCUGCACAGCUCACUGGCCAAAAUUUAGUCACAAUGGAGACUUUAUUCUGGGUAGCAACAUUACUCACUGAAAGUCAGGGAAGGGAAAAGGACCCUGCACUGUGUUCAUUUAUGCAGUGGCAGCAGAUGGGAAGCUGUGGUCUAGCUGGAGGGAAUGAGGACCCGACCUAGAGUGACCCUGAGAAGAAUGUGAGCUGUAUGAAAAACAAGGACCUCAUCUAUCUCCUUCAUCAUGGGAACUCCAGCAUCCAGAAUCGACCCUGGAACCAAAUGAACACUUAGUAAAUGUUUGCUGAAUGAAAGAAAUAAAAGCACUAAUAGAUCA